rnacentral:rRNA from 1 species
CUACGGGGGGCUCCAGUCGAGAAUCAUUGUCAAUGUACGAAAGUAUGAACAUGCGACGCCGCGUGGAGGACGACGGCCUUCGGGUUGUAAACUCCUGUCCUGAGGGAGUAAGUGCAGGGAAGUUAAUACCUUUCCUGUUUGAUAGUACCUCAGAAGAAAGUCACGGCUAACUCUGUGCCAGCAGCCGCGGUAAUACAGAGGUGGCAAGUGUUGUUCGGAUUUACUGGGCGUAAAGGGUCCGCAGGCGGUCCUGUGUGUCGGAUGUGAAAGCUCACGGCUUAACCGUGGAAUUGCAUUCGAAACUACAGGACUAGAGUACAGGAGGGGAGAGGGGAAUUCAGGGUGUAGCGGUGAAAUGCGUAGAUAUCCUGAAGAACACCGGUGGCGAAGGCACCUCUCUGGACUGAUACUGACGCUCAUGGACGAAAGCUGGGGGAGCGAAGAGGAUUAGAUACCCUCGUAGUC